rnacentral:lncRNA from 1 species
CCCUGGACACCGGACACCUACCCAACCCUGUCCCCUACAGAUCUACCCAACCCUGUCCCCUGGACACCUACCCAACCUAUAAUAAAGGUCAGGGUCAGCCAUUAAAGGUCAGCCAAUAAAGGUCAGCCAAUAAAGGUCAGCCAUUAAAGGUCAGCCAAUAAAGGUCAGCCAAUAAAGGUCAGCCAUUAAAGGUCAGCCAUUAAAGGUCAGCCAUUAAAGGUCAGCCAAUAAAGGUCAGCCAAUAAAGGUCAGGGUCAGCCAUUAAAGGUCAGCCAUUAAAGGUCAGCCAUUAAAGGUCAGCCAUUAAAGGUCAGCCAAUAAAGGUCAGCCAUUAAAGGUCAGCCAAUAAAGGUCAGCCAUUAAAGGUCAGCCAUUAAAGGUCAGCCAAUAAAGGUCAGCCAUUAAAGGUCAGCCAUUAAAGGUCAGCCAAUAAAGGUCAGGGUCAGCCAUUAAAGGUCAGCCAUUAAAGGUCAGCCAUUAAAGGUCAGCCAUUCAAGGUCAGCCAAUGACUAAAUAGGAAAUAUGGUGGCAUUUGGAACUCAUACCCUAAAGUACAUGAACUAGCCGAUACAGUAUAUAUGAACAUUUAGAGAGAGAGAGAGAGAGAGAGAGAGAGAGAGAGACGGAGAGACAGAGAGACGGAGAGACAGAGAGACAGAGAGAGAGAGAGAGAGAGAGAGAGAAAGAUAAAGUACAUGCUCAAACAGGUUCCUGCAUUUUUUGUUGUUGAAGGAUUCAAACUUUUCACUCCCAUCAAUCUCUUCUUCUUUUCUCUCUAACCCCCCCCUUCUCUCUCUCUCCCCC